CUUGCACCUAUCCUAAACUUGUAAGGUGCCCUAGAGAUGAUAGAGAAAGGGUGGUUGGUUCAGCUUGACUUCCUCCACUUGGACGUCGGGUACAAGAACGACUAUGAGAAUGUCCUCAAGGCGGUGACAGCGGUGAUGGCACCUCGGUUAGAUGAAGGAAUGUCAGGGCGCCCAGGUAGAGGACGGUGACUUCCUCCUCCUCCACUUGGAUGAUGCCGCCGCCGGGGACAAGAACAAACGACUAGAUUUUCUUGCUGCCACUUGUCUUGAAUAUGGACGGUGCCUUCGAGCUGAAAAAUGGGUGGCCGAGUUGCUGCUGCUACUUAGGCUUUCAUACGAUGGGAUGUUGUUGUUGACCGCUUCAACACGCCGAAGGUUCAGGUUUGGGUGCAGUGGUGCUUGUAUAGCCCACUGCCGGUAGCGGCGGUGAUGGCGUUGCAUGAAGGUCUAGGAGGGUGCCUAGGUACAUAACGACGACUUCCUCCUCCACUGGGGCGCACGCUGCCUCCUGGGACAAAAACAAACCACUAGGGUGCCUUGGGCUAAAUAAUGGGUGGCGGUCGGUUGAGGACGAAUUCCUCCACUCGGACAUUGUCGCGAAUAAGAAUGACUUUGAGGGAAUCUGGAAGAAACACUUGGGUAGUCCUCCUUAAUCCGAACUUACCAAUCAUGUAUGACCACCACUCUCGCGGCACUGCUGGCCAUCCUCAUGUGCCUUUGUUCUCACUGGUGGUCUUGGUUGUCCAUUGGCUUUGACCACCUCCCUGGCGACGCAACCACUAUAGCGGUUGCGUUCACUCCUUCCGCCGAAAUUGCGGUUGGAGCUGUUGCUACUGGCGUCUUCUGGCAACCAUGAGCUACUGCAUGAUUCAGACAUAUUUUUCAGGGUGCCCAUGCUGCAGGUGUGCCUCAAGGCCUGGCCCGCUGAAUACGAUCGAGGAUAGAAUCGGCUGGCGGCGAGCAUGGCCCUUGGGUCCCUUUCUGGUUCUUGUCGGCUCCUGGAGACACGCAAUAGUUGUCCAGCUUGGGGAAGAAGUGAUGGGGGCUUCAGGUGCAUGUUUUCGGGUACCCAGGUGGUGCCCAGUCCACCUCAUACCAGUGUAACCCAAGUGUGGAUGGCGGCAUUAGAGAGAACCCAAUACAUUGACCUCCUAUUGUGAUGAGUGGCCAUCUUGCAUGCUCAUUUGGUAUUUUUUUUCAUGUCUCUGGGAUGGCAUCCAGCAGCACAAGAACUGCUCGCAAGGACUCGGGAGUGAUUGACUUCAGCACAAACUGACCAAUACAACCAUGAUGAAGUUAGACGUGUAACUUCUAGGUCAGGACCCAAUCAAGAGCGUUUCCUACUCACCUUUCUUAGUCCAGUUGCUGCAGGCGGUGGACAACAGAGAUUAUUCUUCUUAACGACAAAGGGGAAGCUGCAAAAAAGCCGAGUACUAUACCUGUUUUGGUUGGUACUACAAAAUCGUGCUGGAAACUGCACAAAAGGAAAACUGUGUGGCGUUUGCGGUGGAGGCUGGUGUGGAGAGGGUGCCAACCAAGGGGCUCGGGAGUGAUUGACUUCUAUAUACGUUUGUAGCUCUGGAAUUAGAAUGAUGGUUGAUCUGGGUUGCUAGUUUAGAUGAUAUGUUGUUCACAAGUAUAGUAGUAUGAGUGGUGACGUGCAUGUAUAGCGAGAUGUCUUUGUUUCGAUUUGUCAUGUCCAAAUUCAGUUGG